GACGAACGCUGGCGGCGUGCUUAACACAUGCAAGUCGAACGGAAAGGCCCUGCUUUUGUGGGGUGCUCGAGUGGCGAACGGGUGAGUAACACGUGAGUAACCUGCCCUUGACUUUGGGAUAACUUCAGGAAACUGGGGCUAAUACCGGAUAGGAGCUCCUGUUGCAUGGUGGGGGUUGGAAAGUUUCGGCGGUUGGGGAUGGACUCGCGGCUUAUCAGCUUGUUGGUGGGGUAGUGGCUUACCAAGGCUUUGACGGGUAGCCGGCCUGAGAGGGUGACCGGGCACAUUAGGACUGAGAUACGGAGCAGACUGCUACGGGGGGCAGCAGGGGCGAAUAUGGCACAGUGGGCGGGGGCCGGAGGCAGCAGCGCCGCGGGCGGGAUGACGGCCUUCGGGUUGUAAACCGCUUUCGCCUGUGACGAAGCGUGAGUGACGGUAAUGGGUAAAGAAGCACCGGCUAACUACGUG
rnacentral:rRNA from 1 species